GACGAACCGUGCGAACGUUGUUCGGAAUCACUGGGCUUAAAGGGCGCGUAGGCGGGCCGUCAAGUCUGUGGUGAAAUCCUCCAGCUCAACUGGAGAACUGCCGUGGAUACUGGCGGCCUCGAGGAUGGUAGGGGCGUGCGGAACAGUUGGUGGAGCGGUGAAAUGCGUUGAUAUCAACUGGAACUCCGGUGGCGAAAGCGGCACGCUGGACCAUGUCUGACGCUGAGGCGCGAAAGCCAGGGGAGCAAACGGGAUUAGAAACCCCCGUAGUCC
rnacentral:rRNA from 1 species